GCAGUCUGCGGUGCCAACACGUGCCAGGAUAAAAUACCUAAACAAAAUAGGACAGUGAAAUAGGACAGUCAAGCAAGUCGUCUGCAAGACUUUACUUUCACAUAUCCCAACAUGUUUUUUCUUAGUAAACAUCAGCAGAACAUGCAGCAGCAACAGACA